rnacentral:sRNA from 1 species
CUUGGUCAUUUAGAGGAAGUAAAAGUCGUAACGAGGUCUCCGUUGGUGAACCAGCGGAGGGAUCAUUACCGAGUACUAUAACUCAUAACCCUUUGUGAACCUUUAUACCUGUUGCUUCGGCGGCGCGCCUCCCGGGGCGUGCCCGCCGGCAUUAUCAGAAUCUCUGUUCGAACCCGACGAUACAUCUGAGUGUUCUAAGCGAACUGUUAAAACUUUCAACAACGGAUCUCUUGGCUCCAGCAUCGAUGAAGAACGCAGCGAAACGCGAUAUGUAAUGUGAAUUGCAGAAUUCAGUGAAUCAUCGAAUCUUUGAACGCACAUGGCGCCUUCCAGUAUCCUGGGAGGCAUGCCUGUCCGAGCGUCGUUUCAACCCUCGAGCCCCCGUGGCCCGGCGUUGGGGAUCUGCCCAGGCAGUCCCCGAAAACCAGUGGCGGACCCGUUGGGCCCUUCCUUUGCGUAGUAACAUCUGCCUCGCAUCGGGAGCCUGCGGGCUAUCCGGCCUCUAAACCCCCCUCAAGCCCGCUCCGGCGGCACCAAGGUUGACCUCGGAUCAGGUAGGAAUACCCGCUGAACUUAAGCAUAUCAAUAAGCGGAGGAAAAGAAACCAACAGGGAUUGCCUCAGUAACGGCGAGUGAAGCGGCAACAGCUCAAAUUUGAAAUCUGGCUCCUUCGGGGCCCGAGUUGUAAUUUGCAGAGGAUGCUUCGGGUACGGGUUCCUUCCGAGUUCCCUGGAACGGGACGCCAUAGAGGGUGAGAGCCCCGUCUGGUAGGACACCCAGCCCGUGUGAAGCUCCCUCGACGAGUCGAGUUGUUUGGGAAU